rnacentral:rRNA from 1 species
GACGAACGCUGGCGGCGUGCUUAACACAUGCAAGUCGAACGGAAAGGCCCUGCUUUUGUGGGGUGCUCGAGUGGCGAACGGGUGAGUAACACGUGAGUAACCUGCCCUUGACUUUGGGAUAACUUCAGGAAACUGGGGCUAAUACCGGAUAGGAGCUCCUGCUGCAUGGUGGGGGUUGGAAAGUUUCGGCGGUUGGGGAUGGACUCGCGGCUUAUCAGCUUGUUGGUGGGGUAGUGGCUUACCAAGGCUUUGACGGGUAGCCGGCCUGAGAGGGUGACCGGCCACAUGGGGACUGAGAUACGGACCAGACUCCUACGGGAGGCAGCAGUGGGGAAUAUUGCACAAGGGGCGGAAGCCUGAUGCAGCAACGCCGCGUGCGGGAUGACGGCCUUCGGGUUGUAAACCGCUUUCGCCUGUGACGAAGCGUGAGUGACGGUAAUGGGUAAAGAAGCACCGGCUAACUACGUG